rnacentral:rRNA from 1 species
GGAAGGGGUGUAUUUAUUAGAUAAAAAUCAACUUUGUUGGUGAAUCAUAAUAACUUCUCGGACCGCAUGGCCUCGUGCUGGCGGUGCUUCAUUCAAAUAUCUGCCCUAUCAACUGUCGAUGGUAGGAUAGAGGCCUACCAUGGUUGCAACGGGUAACGGGGAAUAAGGGUUCGAUUCCGGAGAGGGAGCCUGAGAAACGGCUACCACAUCCAAGGAAGGCAGCAGGCGCGCAAAUUACCCAAUCCCAACACGGGGAGGUAGUGACAAUAUGUAACAAUAUACGGCCUUAUACGUCGUAUAAUUGGAAUGAGUACAAUUUAAAUCCCUUAACGAGGAACAAUUGGAGGGCAAGUCUGGUGCCAGCAGCCGCGGUAAUUCCAGCUCCAAUAGCGUAUAUUAAAGUUGUUGCAGUUAAAAAGCUCGUAGUUGGACCUUGGACCUGGACAGGCGGUCCGCCUCACGGCGAGUACUGUCUUGCUGGGUCUUUCCUCUUGGUGAUCUGUUGUUUCGGCAGCAGGGAACCAGGACCUUUACUUUUGAAAAAUUUAGAGUGUUCAAAGCAGGCUCGACGCCGGAAUAUAUUAGCAUGGAAUAAUAAAAUAGGACGUGCGGUUCUAUUUUAUUGGUUUUUGGAUCGCCGUAUCGAUAA